AUGAACGCUGGCGGCGUGCCUAAUCCAUGCCAGUCGAGCGCACAGACGAGGAGCUUGCUCCUUCGACGUUAGCGGCGGACGGGUGAGUAACACGUAGGUAACCUACCUAUAAGACUGGGAUAACUUCGGGAAACCGGAGCUAAUACCGGAUAAUAUUUCGAACCGCAUGGUUCGAUAGUGAAAGAUGGCUUUGCUAUCACUUAUAGAUGGACCUGCGCCGUAUUAGCUAGUUGGUAAGGUAACGGCUUACCAAGGCAACGAUACGUAGCCGACCUGAGAGGGUGAUCGGCCACACUGGAACUGAGACACGGUCCAGACUCCUACGGGAGGCAGCAGUAGGGAAUCUUCCGCAAUGGGCGAAAGCCUGACGGAGCAACGCCGCGUGAGUGAUGAAGGUCUUCGGAUCGUAAAACUCUGUUAUUAGGGAAGAACAAACGUGUAAGUAACUGUGCACGUCUUGACGGUACCUAAUCAGAAAGCCACGGCUAACUACGUG
rnacentral:rRNA from 1 species